UCCUCUCCUAUGACCACGACGAGGGCGGC
rnacentral:sRNA from 1 species